AAAGGAAAGGCGACUCCCAGUGCUCCUGUUGGUUUCACCCUGAGCUGUGUCUCCGUCUCCAGCUCCAAUCUGAUCCACUUCUCCACUGAAGAUGGAUCCAGUUAAUGAUGUCGUACUGCUGUGCUUUAAUUUAAUCUCUAAUGAGGAAAUCCAUCCAACAAUGGGAUGUUCACAUAGUGACAUGGGGCCAUGUGCAACAAUCCCCGUUGUUGCAGGGACGGCCUCAGUGAAUGCUGCUGCAGCGAUGGCCUUUGUUCCUCCUGGUCUUCUUCUGUACGGAAUGGUUGGAAGCCUGCUGAGCCCCUGGUGGAGCAAGGAUGAAAUCAAGGAUGAAAUCAAGGAUGAAAUCAAGGCUGAAAUCAAGGAUGAAAUCAAGGAUGAAAUCAAGGAUGAAAUCAAGGAUGAAAUCAAGGAUGAAAUCUGGGAUGAAAUCAAGUUAGAAAUCAAACUAUCUCAGAUCAUGAUGGUGCUCAGUGCUCAGGAGAAGCAGAAGCUUUAUAAUCAUAUCGUAAACGUCGAGGUCCUGAACGACAUACAGUGGACAGAUUUUGUCGACCUGUUAACUCAGGUGUAUACUCAGCCCAGAAUGAAGCGGCAGAUUCUCGAAACUCUCAUACCGUUUUUAAAAAAAAUGUAUGGAGGCUUUGUAAAGAGGCUUCAGGGACUUCAUUAAAAGUAAAAUCCCA